rnacentral:rRNA from 1 species
GACGAACGCUGGCGGCGUGCCUAACACAUGCAAGUCAACUUGACUGAAGGAGCAAUCUGACAGUAGAGUGGCGCAAGGGUGCGUAACGCGUAAGUAACUUGCCCAAGGUAAGGAAUAACGUCGAGAAAUCGGCGCUAAUACCUCAUAAUGCAGCGGAUCCGCAUGGAUAUGUUGUUAAAGGUUUACCGCCUUGGGAUAGGCUUGCGUCUGAUUAGCUAGUUGGUGUGGUAAACGGCACACCAAGGCUACGAUCAGUAACUGGUCUGAGAGGAUGAUCAGUCACACUGGAACUGAGACACGGUCCAGACUCCUACGGGAGGCAGCAGCGAGGAAUAUUGGGCAAUGCUCGAAAGAGUGACCCAGCAACGCCGCGUGGAGGAUGAAGGUAUUCUAUAUCGUAAACUCCUGUGAGAGCAGACGAAAGACAGAUUAUAAUCUGGAUGACUGUAUGCUCAGAGG